rnacentral:rRNA from 1 species
GACGAACGCUGGCGGCGCGCUUAACACAUGCAAGUCGAGCGAUGAAACUAUAAGCGUACCCUUCUGGGCGUAGCUACAGAGGAUUAACGGCCGCCUGGUGAAUAACCCGUUAGUACUCUGCCUUCUACAUUGAGAUAGCCUCGGGAAACCGGAAUUAAUACCACAUAAAAUUAUAAUGACACAUGUCAUAAUUGUCAAAACUCCUGUGUUCUACGAUGCUCUCGCGUCGCAUUAGCUAGUUGGUAGGGUAAAAGCUUACCAAGGCGACGAUGGAUAGACGACAUGAGAGGGAGAACGGCCACACUGGAAGUGAGACACGGCCCACACUUCUGAGGGAGGCAGCAGUCGGGAAUCUUACGCGAGGGAGGAAAGCCUGAUAGAGCAAAGCCGAGGGAGCUAUGAUGGUCUUAGGAUCGUAAAACUAUGAAAGUAGUCAAGAACAAAAGUGUAAUUAAAUGGGAACAUAUUGACGGUACCUAAAGAGAAAGCCCCGGCUAACUACGUG